AGACUCUUCCUCUUCUUAACAGAUUUAUCAGAAGCUGAAAGCUCUGAUCUUGUUGGGAUGCGGAUGUUGUCAGGAGAAGGCUUACUUUGCACGCUUUUCUUAGUCUGGUUGCCUAACUCAAGAACCUCGGCACGGCUCUGUUACUUCUCUACUCAGACAAGCAUCCCUGCAGACACUCACUAGGCUAACUCUGUCUUUAUUUUUAGAAUUAGACCUUUACGAGAAGCACAGUUUUGUCUUCAGUUUCCUCUCCCCCCACCCGGAAUGGCCUGAGCCGAAGCCAGCUCCCUCCGAGAAGUCAUUACCACCUGACUUGCGUUUGAUAUUUAGACACUUUGGUCACAACAUCUUGUGUUCUCUCGGGAUGCUGAUUUCUAACUGCUCUUUGGCCUUUCCUGCAUUGGUCCUCCUCAGGCAGGGGAUCCCUGCUCUUCUAUAUUAAUGCUGGCUCCCCAUCCCCUGUCCACCAUGAGUCAAAGCAAUGUGAGUCCCUCACCAGAUGCAACUGCCCAGUCUUGGACUUUCCAGCGACCAGAAUCAUGAGCCAAAUAAAC
rnacentral:lncRNA from 1 species